UUUUUUGGUCAAGAAAGAAGAGAAGAGGGAGAAUAAUUCUCACUAGUUUUAUUUUCGUAAUAUAUAUUUUUCUAAAACAAUUUGGAUUAAAAUUAAUAUAAUUAUAAAAAGGGUAAAAUAUAGUUUUUACAUACUACCAAUCAAUUAUCAUACUAACACAUUUGUCGAAGCUGGAAACCAUUCUAGAACCAAAUUAACAAGUUCGAAGUUCAGGAUCUGUC
rnacentral:lncRNA from 1 species